rnacentral:lncRNA from 1 species
UGGCUUGAUCUCCAUUGAUCUAGCUUGUGUUGGCACUGAACCCUUACCAUGAUCAGCAGCCUCGUCGACCAUAUUAAGCACAACCUCAUGAUCAACCCCUUGAUGUUUGGAGAGGUUGAAGUAGUUAAGGGCAUUGUGUUAUUAUGUCAACAUGAUUGGCAUUUGAAAUUUAAAGCUUGAUCAAUUGUUUUAGAAGAUUGUAGGUGGUAGAAUAGCAGCCAAGGGGCUGCCUAUGAUGCCUAGGCGUUAGGUGGUUACCUUGGUGGGCACAUAGAGGUCAAUGUGGCCCCCCAAAAAAAAAAUUAAUAUACAUAAUAGAAAUCUAAAAUGAUAAUUAUAACAAAUAAAUGAAGUUAGCUAAUCAAAUAAGGUAUAGUGAAGUUUUACAUCUUUGUACCUAAGGUUUGCCAGACCAGUACUAAGGGUCAUACUAGCUAACAAAAGGUUUGAUAUGGUAUCGGUAUGUAUUGUAAUGAUCAUACACAUCAGGGUAUGCCGUACCGGCCCGUACUGGCCGGUACGGGCUGAUACGAACCGGUUCGGGCAAGGACCGGUACUAGAAGCUUUUCAUUGAAAAAUCGGCCAGUACGACUGCCGUAUUUGGAUAUCUGAAUGACUUCAAUUGUAAAUAAAAAUUUCUUGGUUUAAUGGAUAACAUGACUAGAUGAACAUGCUUGGUCAAUAAAAUAUUGAUAAAUUUUAAGUAAUCUUCAUGUUCAAAUUGGAAGUUAAAGUUGUGUGUGUAUGAUUACCGAAAGAGAAAUGCUAGAUUUACAUACAGUUGUUGUAGAGAGACAUCUUCACAUGAUGUGUGAUGCAAGUAUACACAGUUUUAGUGCUGGCUUCACAUCACCAGUUAGAUGGCUUCCAUGCAACUAGUUAGAUGGCUCCCAUGCAACGAGUAGUCUUCUCAGCAUGGUUUGUUGUACCAGUCCAUACCGAUGCAUACCAACCAUACUGACUAUACCUUACCGAUUAUGCCGUACUAUACCAUACCGAAUUGUAUAGGAGGUAUAUAGAGUGUAGGUAAGCCAAACUGGCCCUCAUACCGAGUAUACCGGCACAGUAAUAGAAUAGUACCAGUAUAAAGUCCGGUACUGAAACGACGAACCUUGCUUCUAAGUUCUUAAUGCAGAAAAUGUAAGUGUUUUUUCAGAUACACCUACUAUUGAUCUGGCGCUCUUCUUAACAUGUAAAAACAUUUAUGAGCCUUCUACAUGACCUGGAUGGCAGUGUGUUGCUUAGAAGUCAAUCAUGUUUUAUUGGUGAAUUCCUUGUUAUCACCACUUCAUUUUGGAAAAAUCAACUUGUAUGAUUAGUGAUAAGACAAUAUGAUCUCCUUGCAAAUCAUUUGAAGGAAUUGUUGGUACAGAUUGAAAUUGUCUAUGAUGCCAAUUAACUUUUAUAGGCCCACUUAUCUCUACUUCAUAAUAUCUACUUCAAUGUUACAUAGUAAUUUCUUGGAGCAUAGACUACCAUGUUCAAACAUAACCAUGCAUAGGAAGACUUGAAUUUUAUUUGUCAUUUUAGCUAAAAAGCAGACAUGAAUUUUAUUUGUCAUUUUAGCUAAAAAGGUUUUCUUUCUAUUUACAUCUGACAUUAUCUUUCAAGAUGCUUUCUGAUUUUUUUCAUUUUCAUUUUUUCCAGUUGACGUCUUUGCUUGCUGAAAUUGGCCUUAAUAUCCAAGAAGCACAUGCAUUUUCAACAAAUGACGGUUACUCUUUAGUUGUUUUUGUUGUCGACGGCUGGCCAUAUGAGGUAAUUCUGUAUAUUUUUUGUUUCAGACACUUCAUGUUGUAGUUAGUGUUAUUAUUGCAACUUGUCGCAUGGAGAGUGAUUGUCCUUGAGAUGCCUAGGCAACCCUUGCCCUAUAUAUACAUGUCUAUAUAUGCACAUUUGCUCCCUCAUAAUAUAUGUGAGCUACACGUACAUAUUCUCUAGGAAAAUUUGCUUUAAUUUGCAGAAAUUAUUAAAGUAAUAUGAUAUAAAGUAGUUGUUGAAAAAGAGCAACCAAGGUUCGCCGAACUGGUAUCAGGAUCCGUACCAAUCGGCGCCUGAUACGGUUUGGUAUCGUACCGAACUGGUAGGACAUGCGGGUUCAUGGACCAGCACAUCCAUUUUUUUUAAAAUUCUUAAAAAAAUUUAAUUGGUACUUACUCUUUUUGAAAUUUUUUAAUGAAUUUAAGUCUAAUAUGAUGUUUUUUUUAUGUUUUCUUGAUUUUUUUAUGUCUUUUAAUGUUUUUAUGAUUUCGGUUAAACCUAGAUGAUACAUCUUAUUGCUUUAAAAUGAUACAAAUCAUAAAAUGAAUAAUAUAAAAUAUUCUUAAAUUAAGUAGUGACGUGAAAAUUAAAAAAUAAUACAAUUAAUUACAUUUAAAGUCCAACACAUGUACCGAUAUCUAAAAUCGGAUCGAAUGGUGAAUGCCUCUCAUAGAUAUUCGGAUAAUUAGCAUGGUCAGGAGGCACAUCAGCCUACCUCUCUAACCAAGCGACAUUGUAAUCUUGUACGUUCAUUCCAUAAGGAACGCGCGCCGGGUUAUAAGCACUCUCGGAUUUCUCGCUGAAGUUCUAGUUUUGAGAAGUGUCUUCUGGCUAAUAAUACGAUUGUGGAGAGGCCCAUCCGAAUAUGCCGGCAGCAAAAUUCGACCCGUAAGAUGCUCCGGGCUGCUUAAGGUAGUAGCCACCGAAAGAUGCCUCAGACGCACCAUAUCCAUAUCCGUAUGGGUCAUAGGCUACUUGUGGUUGUAAAUAAUAAGAUCCAGUAUACGACUCGGAAUCUGAUACAUCUAUGGAUUCUACUCCAUGUCCGAGGUCAUCUACAGUUGCAUCGUGUUCUCCUGAAUGACCUUGAGGAGCCUGUCGCCUAUAUGCAAUCGUAUCCUCGCGGGCUCUAUCAGAUCGUGCACCGUAGUCCUAUCUUGUGUCGUAUGCAUAAACUAGGAUUUACUGUUGAAUUGAAGACCACCUUGUGGCUGUCUCAUAAGUAGUGACCUCUUUUUUAAAUAUUUCUUUUAAUGUACUUUAAAAAAAUAUGUCAAAAAUUUUCAAAAAAAAGAAAAUGAUGCCCAAUGUUUCCAUUUCGUCUUGAAUUUUUUAUAUGUUAUAGAUCUAUGGACAAUGUGCAUGGUGACAUUAAUUUUUUUAGAAUAUAUAUAAUUUAUAUUUUAAUUAAAAAUAAAAAAGUUUAAAAAUUGAUUUUUUAAUAAAAAUAAAAAAUAAAAAAAUAAAAAUAGUAGCAUGUUGUACAUAAUUUAGAAGUCAUUUUGGAGGCAGAAUUAUUUUUGGUAAAUUUAAAAUAAUUAAAAAAUUAAAAAUUAAUUUAAAAUUUAAAAAUAAAUUAAUGUUCUCGUAGGAAUGGAGCCAUCAAGGAAAGGGCAACCCCCAGAGCAUGAUACUAGCUGGGAGCAUGGAAAGAUGCUUGAUGAACGACACCAGUUUUAGUGCAAUCAUUGCCGUAAGUGCUUCAAGGAAGGAGGAACUAGGUUAAAGCAGUACUUAGCCAGUAAUUUUCGUGAGAUAUCUGUGUGCCACGAUUGCCCACUGGAGAUCCAUCUACUGAUGAGGCAGAACCUCGCUGAGAUCAAAGCAACCAAGAAGAGGACUGCCAAGAAGAAGGUGGAGGCAGAACGCCAAGCCGCAGAGCCACCUUUCUAUCACUUUAUGGAGUUAGAGGAGGUCGAGGGUCUAGAUGAGGAGGCAUAUAUUCAGGCUGCCAUGAGCGAUCCUGGAUGAUCAGUGGCAGCAGGAGGUGGCGAGGCAUCGGGCUUGAUUUGGGCCCUUGUUUUACGAGUCGGGCACUGGUUCAAGUGGAAGCAGACAAGAUCUAGAGUUUCAAAGGACAAUCUCAGUCAGUAGAGGACGUGGCCGGAUUGUAUCUAUCCUGGAUGAUUUUGGUAGCCGAAAUAAAUCUUCCAGAGGAAUUUUACUAGGAGUGUCAAUCCAUGAUAUAGAUCCGCAUAUCUUCUCCAGCAGAGAUUCGAAGUAGUAGAGGGUAGACACAAUGUGAAAGGAGAAGAAGGAUAUGUGGCGNNNNNNNNNNNNNNNNNNNNNNNNNNNNNNNNNNNNNNNNNNNNNNNNNNNNNNNNNNNNNNNNNNNNNNNNNNNNNNNNNNNNNNNNNNNNNNNNNNNNNNNNNNNNNNNNNNNNNNNNNNNNNNNNNNNNNNNNNNNNNNNNNNNNNNNNNNNNNNNNNNNNNNNNNNNNNNNNNNNNNNNNNNNNNNNNNNNNNNNNNNNNNNNNNNNNNNNNNNNNNNNNNNNNNNNNNNNNNNNNNNNNNNNNNNNNNNNNNNNNNNNNNNNNNNNNNNNNNNNNNNNNNNNNNNNNNNNNNNNNNNNNNNNNNNNNNNNNNNNNNNNNNNNNNNNNNNNNNNNNNNNNNNNNNNNNNNNNNNNNNNNNNNNNNNNNNNNNNNNNNNNNNNNNNNNNNNNNNNNNNNNNNNNNNNNNNNNNNNNNNNNNNNNNNNNNNNNNNNNNNNNNNNNNNNNNNNNNNNNNNNNNNNNNNNNNNNNNNNNNNNNNNNNNNNNNNNNNNNNNNNNNNNNNNNNNNNNNNNNNNNNNNNNNNNNNNNNNNNNNNNNNNNNNNNNNNNNNNNNNNNNNNNNNNNNNNNNNNNNNNNNNNNNNNNNNNNNNNNNNNNNNNNNNNNNNNNNNNNNNNNNNNNNNNNNNNNNNNNNNNNNNNNNNNNNNNNNNNNNNNNNNNNNNNNNNNNNNNNNNNNNNNNNNNNNNNNNNNNNNNNNNNNNNNNNNNNNNNNNNNNNNNNNNNNNNNNNNNNNNNNNNNNNNNNNNNNNNNNNNNNNNNNNNNNNNNNNNNNNNNNNNNNNNNNNNNNNNNNNNNNNNNNNNNNNNNNNNNNNNNNNNNNNNNNNNNNNNNNNNNNNNNNNNNNNNNNNNNNNNNNNNNNNNNNNNNNNNNNNNNNNNNNNNNNNNNNNNNNNNNNNNNNNNNNNNNNNNNNNNNNNNNNNNNNNNNNNNNNNNNNNNNNNNNNNNNNNNNNNNNNNNNNNNNNNNNNNNNNNNNNNNNNNNNNNNNNNNNNNNNNNNNNNNNNNNNNNNNNNNNNNNNNNNNNNNNNNNNNNNNNNNNNNNNNNNNNNNNNNNNNNNNNNNNNNNNNNNNNNNNNNNNNAUGAUUCAAUGUGAUUCUUUUUUCUCAUAAUUCAAUUUUUUUGAGAAAAAACAAAUUCAACUUAAGCUAACUUGUUCAUUAAAAUUUUUAGGAGACCAAUCAGCUUAAAGAUGCACUGCAGAAGGGAAUACACAAAAUUGAGGUAAUAUUCUUUCUAACAGAUGCCUUGUAUUGCUUAACUUUUAAAUUGUAUUAAUAAAUUACUGCAAUUAUAUUAAUAAAGUACUGCAAUAUAUCAAUAACUAUAGUAAGUAGUGACCAUCCUAUCAUCAGUAAACCUUAUCUUGCUUGUGAUAUUUUGUACUUGAAUUGUGUUGCUAAUAAUACGAAAAUGUUUUCUGGCUAUUGUAAAUAUGACAUCUAUUCUUUUGUUUCUCAUUUUUUGAUAAUAUGUGUUGUUGUCUCUGUUGUCUGUGGUAUUUUCUCGUAUUUAUUGGAAGAUUAAGUAGUAAAGCAAUUAUAAAUACUGGUCAAUAGAGAAGCUGAUGGAGUAGACCUAGGCAAUCUCUAAAAUUCCCAUGACUCUUUUGGUUCGGUUUUGUUCUUAAUCAUAUUUUGAAUACGAGUAUAAUACCUUGGAAGCUCACUGUUGCCACUAUUCUUAGUGAAAGGUGCAGAUUAUUUGUAAAACAAUUCAAAAUAUUGGCUUUUCUGACUAUUAUUUUUUCUUGAUAAAAGGGAUGCAAAAUUAGUAGUAAACUUGGGCACAUGAGAAGAACUAGUAUAUACUAAACCAGCUGACUUGGAAGCAAUCUUAUACAGGUUGCCUGCUCAGGCUGGUAUAGGUCUUUCAAGGGGAAAAAAGGAAGAAAAAAGAUGAAAAGAUAAAAAUAUAAGAAACUCAAGAAACUCAAGAAUCAAGAUCAUUUUGGUAAGAUUAAGAAACAUGUUUUCUGUUCACUUAGCUUCCCAAAACCUAGAUUUAUUUUCAUGUACUUAACUUUGGUGUUGCAUGGACAUGAGGAGUCAUGGACACAAGAAUCAGAUAAAAACACAUACACUAAGUAUUUUGAGUUGGCAAGAGGAAAAAAGGAGAUAUGGGCACAUAGGAGAAAAAAAUAAUUUAACUAAGUUAUUUCUAAAUAUUAUAUAAGAAUGUUAAAAAUAUUAUUUGUUAAAAUCUUUCAGUAUUCAUGUUCUCAUCCAAAUUUCCUUAAAGACAGCCAUAACGGCACUUCACUAAAGGCGUACGAUAUCCUUGACUGGUAUCUAGAAAGAACAAAGGCUCAGUCCUAUUAUCAUUAUGGUGGGUCAAACUUAUUAUUCAGACAGUCCAACUCUCCAUCAAUCUAUAAAAGCUGUAAUUAAAGAAUUUUCUGCAUUCAAGGUUUUCAGUACCCCCUGUACCAUCCUUGUACUAACCAAGGAUGCAUUAUACCAGCUAGCGACUAGCACGGAGUACUGUUGGUUCAGCCGCUAUAGAUGGACUACGCCUGACUUGGCCCAGACUGACCCAAAUCGACCCAUGCCACCAUGUAUCAACCUCAUAGCACUCAGUGCACUCUUUUUCCUUUUCCUUUUUCCCCUUUUUUUGGCUGAUUUGAAUCAAUAGGUGCUGGCCUCUGUCGGCACCAUAUCGAGCAAUGGCUGGUAUGGNNNNNNNNNNGUACAGAUCCUUUGAUCCAAGUGUUUGAUGAGUAGCCUCUUCAAACAUCUAUCCAAAAUGGAUUCUUCAAGCUAGAUGCAAGUAUCCCAAGUUGAUGUUAGUUGUCUCAAGUUCCUGUUGGUUAUUGAUUAAUUGUCACAUAAAAUGGCAUGAGUGUGGAUCUAGGAAUAUCAUUGCAAGUCUUAGAUUUGAGGUUUUCUAAUUGUGUUCUUUUGUUCAUCCAUGCACUUUUUCCAUUAAACAAUUGUUUUUCAAAAAUCUAAUCAUUUUUAUUAAUGACUUUUGGUCCAUUAUUCAAUUAAAAUGAUAGUCUAGUAUGACCCUACUACACAAGAAACUAUGGUUAUUGUAAAAAAAAAUUAACCAAUGCUAACAAAUCAUUCUAUAAAAAUUUCAUCGUUACUAUGAAUAAAAUUCUUUCACUUUCUUUUUUAAAUAUUCAUAAUCAUGCCAUUGCUUGACAUUUUUUGUUGCAUAUGUGCAACUAACAUUUUAUUUUACUACUGAAUAGAGUUCACAAAAAUGACCAUGGCUGGCCGUACCACGCCGAAUCAGGCACUGAACCAAAUUGAUGGGGAACCAAGAUGGUUCGUCGGCUCGGUGUAUAGGACAAUUCAAUUAAAAACCCUCCACGGUACAAUUAAAUCACCGCCCCCUCCCCGCCCCCGCCCCCGCCACAAUAAGCCUCCAGAAAACCUUGAACAUGAUUCUUGCUUUCUUAUGCAACAUAUUUCCAAAAUAUUUUCAAAAUUUAUAGGACCUUAGGGAUCUACACAAAAUAUUUCCAAAAUUGACCUGCACAAAAAAAUAUAUUUCCAAUUGGAUUUCAUAUUUACAUAUUGAUAUUCUAUGAUAUAUCUCAGCCCACAUGUACCAUUCAUCAUAAUAAGAUAUUAAGGUGCUGGGAUAUUACAUAUUUAGUUUUUAUUUUAUGUUAAAAUAAUAAAUAUAUAUGAUUGCUAAGAUUUCACUUCAGGCUUUAGAUGCUUGUCUUCUUUUCUUUUUGAUUGUAUAUUGAUCUCAAUAGUCUCAUAUAAUUUUAAUGUUAUGGCUGGCAACAAAAACUUUGGUGUCUAUUUGAAAUGCUAGUUGGAAGAGUUAGAAACUUAGAGUUUUUGUUUAAGUGUUCCAUCAUGUCUAGUUCCUAAAAAUGAAUAAGUAAUAGUCUCAAUGACAAUGAAAGUUCUCAGAUGUAUUCUACUUUGCCUUUGGCAUAGGCGCAAGGUCUUAAAUCUCGGUGGGAUGUCCCACAGGACACCGGGAUGGGAUACCAUCCUAAGUGUUAGGAAAUAGCCGUCAGAUUAUUAUCCUAGCAUCUUGUUCGACACAUCUUAAAACAUUCACUGCCCAAGCAAGGUUCGCCGUACCGGUACCGAACUCCGUACCAUUGCCGCACUAGUAUAGGCGUAUCGAAUGUCGGUACGGUACGGUAUGCUGGCGUACCGACAUUGGCGUUCCAAUAGCGGUACCCAUCGGUACAGGUAUGGUACGCCCGGUACUGACCGGUACCGAUCGGUACAGCAUACUAUGGUCCCAAGUGUCAGGAUGGGGUGAGAUGGCAGCGCACCCUGUUCCAUGGCAAACUAGAAAAUUACGUUCUACGAAAUUUAAAGCCUUGAUAGGCAUCAUAGUGAUGUGUAUCUGUUUGUACCAAUGUGUACCAAUUGUUGGCAUGAUGCGGUAUGAUGAAUGUAUUUGUUUUUAGCCCCUUAAAGUUAUUAGAACUAUACAUGAUACUUUUAUGCAAGGACAUGAGUCCAACUAGGACAGGAUGGUAUCGUCGGUAUUGUAUUGUUAUGAUAGGAAGCCGACCAAAUACAUCUAUGAGACACUUGUUCUUGGUGAAUUAGGAUGUCUCGACUGAGGUCCAAUGAACCGGUACUAGGACUUGUGUCGGUCGGCUGCUGGUUCAAUAUGGUGUGAAUCGAUCGGUUCACCUUGGUUCAAUAGACCAUAAUUUAAGCCUUUUAAAGAGGUAGAGGGACCCGAACUGGUUCAAAUAGGUGCAAACCGAGUGGUUCGCAUUGGUUCUGCUCUGAACCACCCAGAAUCAAGCGGUUUGGAGCAGUUCAGGGCGGUUUAGGGGUGAAUCAGGCGGUUCAAAGUGGUUCAGGACGGUUCGAGGGAAAUUUUGAAAUUUAGGGCCGAAUCGACCCAAUUCCCCACCGGUUCGGUUUAAUAUAGGGUGAAUCGAGUGGUUCGGCCUGGUUCACAUACCUUGGUCUCAACCAUCUAGGUCUAUCUUGGUUGCAUCCCAACACUCAAGAUGCAUUGGAGCAGUAAGGAUUGACUGGGAUGCAUUUUUUUUAUUUAUUUUUUUCUUGUUGUUGUUUUUGGCUGUUUUGCUACAUUUCGACUGUACUGCCCCAUUCUAGUACAAUAUCGUCCUUGAAGCAAAUCGAGAAAGGGCCCAGUACCAAGAUUUAAACCAUUUCUUUUAUGCUUGGCUGAAGUAAAAGAAUAGUUAAUAUAGUAAGUUAUUUAAGUGAGGCUUCAUUGUUCUAAGUAUUUAUAGGAAGAUUAAUAGAAAUGAUGAAGUGUGCACUGUACCAUGUUGCUGUAGCUAAUAAUUUCUACGCUUGGGCAUCAUCAAAGUAAUUAGUGUAAUCAUUUUCAGGGGAUUCUUUAUGGUCUCCAUGAUAUGUUUCAUAGAGCACUUGAACAUGCUAAUCCACAUUUUGGUUCUUUCAGCCAGAGUUUGAUUUGUUCUCCUAAUUCAUUUCUUUAAAAUGUUGUGUCAUACUAUCUAUGGUCAUGCUGCAUUUUCUGGUGAAUCCACAUCCCCUUGUUAUCUAAUUCUUGAUUUGACAUUUUGAAAUGCAAUUUCUUUCCUCUUUUACUUAAGUCAUGCUUCUUUUAUUCUUUAACUUGAAAUAAUAGAUCAUAUGAAUUUCUGAAUUACUUCUAACAUUUACUGCAGAAACAAGCAUUAUUAUUGCCUCAUUCUUGGUCACCUGUAAUGAAAAGUUCACCUGCUGGGGAGAAAUCUCUAAUUGAUCAUGUCCAAAUACCUACAGAUGGGACUGAUGUAUGGGAAAUUGAUGUCAGACAUUUGAAAUUUGAGAGUAUAGUGACAUCCGGAUCAUAUUGUGAUCUGUAAGUUAUACGAGUUAAUCUUGGAAAAGAAAAUCAUGCUAACUGGUAAUCUUAUGUUUUCCAUUAUUGGGGCCUUCAGUUAUUUGUUUUCUUUUCCCUUUGUCAGUUACCAUGGAACCUACUGUAGUCAGGAUGUCGCUAUUAAAGUACUCAAGCCAGAGUGUGUCGAUGUCCAAAUGCAGCAUGAAUUUGCACAGGAAGUCUAUAUAAUGAGGUUGGUUGGAAGUGCAAUCCUUUUUCUAACAUUAUUCUAAUACUAGCUUUUCAUGUCUAUGUUUUUUGAACUUUUGGGCAACAAAUUCAAUGCAAUUGUCAUCACAGCUUAUGGAUCAGUGUUAUCACAUAUUAUUCCAUGUUUAUCAGGACCGUUUUUGGAUAGGAAGCAAUUAACUAACCCAGAAAAGCAGUAGCUAUUGCAGCCCGGUAUGGUCACCUUAUAGUAACCUAUUGCUGAAAGCCUAAAGUAGUUAACUUCACUACAACAUUAUGACCGCCCUUUGAUGUUGAUCCUGAACUCGUGUUUAUGGGUUGAUUUUGUCAAAAUGUUCAGUACAUGUAAAGAAAGUGGGUCGGCACACCGAUUUAGUUCAUUUUUUAACAUAAAUUUUCACAUCCAAAUAUAUAAUAUUCUUACAAUCAACAUUACUCAGACUCAGACACAUGACAUGGUUGUCAAGUAUUUAGGUCUCUAGCACAGGAUCUCCUCUUAAGACUCAGGAUAUGGAAAAAAUAAUGAGAUGGACCUAUUGCUUCUUGAGUUCCCAAAAAUAAUAAAACAUUUUCUAUAUGUAAUGUUAGACUAAAUAUGCCUAAAGUAGAUAUGUAAUGAUGGUGAGGUCAUGAUUUGAUGGUGUGAAGAGUGAAGUGUCAUGAAGUGUUCCAAUAUCCAAGUGUUUGAUAUAUUGAAAAAUGGAAAAAUAAAAAGGAAACUGAAGUUUGGAGCAUGCAAGUAAUACUGGUUAUAGCAUCUUGCUGUAUGUCCAUAUGUUUUAAUAAGAAUACAAGUUUUGCAUUUCAUUGUUAAUCUCUUGCAUGGAUACAACCAAGGCAUGCGGUACCGAUAGUACCGGUGUACUGGUGAAGACUGGUUCCUGUACGGUGUUGGUUGGGUACUGGUCGAACCGGUAUCGAGCCGGCGAGAUAGGAAAAAUAAACACGCAUUCGAUGCGCGGACGCGCGCGCGCCUGCGCGUUAUCAUAGAUGCCACUCUGUGCGGCAUUUAAAGCCCAUGCGGGGCAGCCCGCGUGGGCCCGCUGCCCCGCACGGGGAAUCAAGGCAGCGCGGGGAACCGCGUGCGAGCGCGGUUCCCUGCGAACGAGCGCGAGCGAGCUCGCGGUUUCCCCUCGUGCCCGGUUCCCCAAUCGGCCCACGUGCGGGUUUUUUUUCCCUUUAUUUUUUCCUCCCCUUCUUCCUCUUUCCGAACACUUCUUCCCCUGUCUCCUCUCUUCUCAUUUCUUUCCCGGUUCCUCCUGUUCUCCCGCAAGCAAGGAAGGAAGAGAGGUCCCGCCCGCGAGCAAGAAAGAGAGGUCCUCCUUUUUUCGAUACUUGCCUUCUCUUCUUCCCCGCUUCUUCUUCUCUUCUUUCUUCCUCUUCUUCCCCGCUUCUUCUCUUCUUUCUUCCUCUUCUUCCUACUCUUCUUCCGGUGCCUGUCGCACCGGUUUCGGUUCGGUACCGGUUUUCACAGCUGAAUCGUACCGGUAGCUAUCGGCACCGGUUCAGUACAGCCUGAACCGACCGGUUCCGGUCGGUUCGGCAGACCAUGGAUACAACUGUGGUUGUACUUCAAAAAAAAGCGUAUUUUGGUAGUAGACAAAAGUGCCAAGAAUUAGAGAAAAGAUAGAGAGGGAAGAGAAACUUCAUCUUCUUACAAGUAUUUUAUCAAAAUUCUGCACUAUCUGGUCCAAACCACUCCUACAUAGAUUGUGUUGUUCAAGGAUCUGAGUAUUACAUAUCAGCGUCAUGCUGGCAUGGCACUAGAACUGCAUUGCACGUGCCUGCACUACAUGUCAUGCCAAUGCCUGGUUCAUGUUGGCAUGUUAUGGUCUUGGUGCCAUUUUGAUUGACACAUAAUUGCACACGUAAAUUAACAACUUUGAGGUUUUUGUUUGGAAUUUAAACUGAGAAUCCUAAAGAGGCUCUUUGACGUUGUUUGGAGAAAAGGAAAAGAAAACAAGAAUUGGAACCAAGAAAUAGUAACAUAGUGAAAAAUGAAGUCAUGUUGCAUGUUGAUUAUCGUGCAGCUAUUCAGUGUUACUUUUAAGGUCAUAUGACAUGGUAUUACACAUGAAUAAUAUAAUAGCACCACAAGAAUGAUAAAAAUGCACAAAAGUCAUUGAUAAUACACAAUAGUGUGAAAGAAAGUCUUGCUAGAGUUUUAAAAACUUAAAAUUACUUUAUAAAAUGCUGAUAUGCCUCUAAGUUACAAGGUUAAUGACAUAUUAGAUAUUGACUGUAUGUACCUAAAUAAGUGUAAAUCCUCACCUCAACUUCACAUAGAAUUCUUAGUGGGCCGACAUUCUGAUCAGCUACCUUUGGCAUUGUGGGUGUUGUAGAGGAACUGUAGGUAUUAUUGGAAAUUCUUGAGAAACUAAAUCUAUUUUUCUUCUACUUUCUUUAAUACUUGAAAUCUUCUUGCCAGAUGUGACAUUAUGAUGAAGAUGUGGUCUCUUCUCCGAUCUUCUUUGACUUAGGUACUACUAGAAGUUGAUUUCAUACCCUGAACAUUCAAAAUCAUCAUCCUUUUUAAAGUAAUCAUGAUUUCCAUCUUCAGGCUCAACCACCAAUAAUUCAGUUUCAGCAAUGAUUUCUUCCUUGGCUACGUCAUAGGUUGUUUCUUCAUGGAUACAAUAGUUCAAGUCUCAAGCUGAAGACUUGUUGACAAAAUCCAACUUUUUUUUGCGUCUAAAGCAAUCUAUUUGCUUCCUGUUGCUCUUAAUCAGAAAUGUAUAGUCAUUCUGGAAUAUGAAGCCUUGCAUCCUCUCUAUAUCCAGACUUUUGGUGACAGCACAGCAAAAAUGUGGUUAUGUAACCACAAGUCUCGAUGGACCAGUAGGCAUGUUGGUUUUGGCACCUUACCAAUAUGAUACACUAUGGCCACUAGCACUAGCACCUAAAUUCUUAUUUAACAGGUCUUCUGGGUAAGCUGUGAAACAACAUGUAUUCACCGCUUGAAUUGGAACAUGUUGAAACUUUUAAAAUAUGUUGAAACUUAAUUUUGAGUAACAUGUUUCUCUACAUAAAACCAUGAAUAAAAUAUUAAAAAAUCAUCACAACUAAUAAAAAUUCUGGUAGGAUAAGGAGAUAUUAAAAAAGAGGCAUGUUUAGUCACAUACACGUCUUCAUUGGUGAGAUUUUUUCAUAUUUAUUUUUGUUCUAUAAAGAAGUUCCUUGUUUAUUAACUAUAGACAGUAGACUGAAUAUACCUACCUGAAGCCUCAACCCUUCAAGUUCUGUUUUCUUAACAAUGAUAUGAUGAUUCUGAGAACUUUCAGUUGUUUUUUUUUUCAAUAACCACCUCUACAAAUCCUGGAAAAAAGUUAAAUUUUUGAAGAAUGUGCUUUUAGUAUCAUUAUAGACAUUCAGGUCUGGAGGUUAUGUAAUUCAGAAAGAAACCUAAUCAAAUAAAACUAAAAUAUGUUGUAUGGCAUUGAAAAUCAGUUUUUCUUGUUCAAAAACUAAAUAAACCUGCUAAAAUUUGUAUUAUUCUAUGCUACUAUAGUACUACUUUCAUUUCACUAGUAGAAAACAAGAACAAUGCCUGCCAAAUGAUGUAACAAAAGUAUAAUAGUGCAGUUGCAUGGCAUUUAAUUUUGAAAUUAUGUGCUAUUCAUCUUCUUCAAUUUAAUAUUUUCAGGUCCAUCAUCUGUUGUAUUUAUAAUUUUUUAUAACAAAAAUGUGCAGACUUCUGCUGUUUUGGGACCUAUUAUCAAUUACAUUGUACAUUCUUAUGGUCUUCAUCAUGGUACUUUUCUAGUGGUAGCUGUAUAUAUGGUCCUGGCCUUUUAUCCAUGCACAAUAGAGUAUGAACAAAUGGAACAUGCUAUAAUUUUUACUUAUGCUCUUUACAAUUGACAUAUGGAGUAGAAGAGCAUGUCUGCGGUGAAGUGCUGAUUAAAUAUUAUGAACUGCUCUAGGAUGUUCUCUUGCUGAAGUUUUCAUGGGGCCAUUUAUAUGUUUUUGCUUUUAUCUUGGAAGUAAAUAUUUCUCUUGAGUCUUGAGUAAUAAAAAAAAUGUUUACUUAAUACCUUUUUAACAAAGAAUGAUCACUUCUCUUGCUGAAGUUUUCAGGAGUUAUUUACAUGUUUUUUCCUAGGGGCCAUUACUUGGUGUAAUAGUAAAGGCUUGGACUGACAAGUGCAAUGGCAUGGGUUCGAGUCUUAGGGCAGCUACUUUGUGUAUAAAAAUGCUAAUGGUUAGAUCUGUCUUCAUUUAGCCCCUUCAAGUACCCCAGGUUGCUAGGAACAUAACUGGGGCUCGGGUUGCUAGGAGCAUAACUGGAGUGCUUUUCUUUUGAAUUUUUUCUCUUGCAAGUUAAGGAAAAACUAGAAUAUGGAUUAAGGUAUUGGUCGUACUGAGCCAUACUACUGGUACUGUACUGACAAAGAGAAUGAUAUGUGGGAGAAGUGGAGGACGUCAGUUUGGGCAUGAUGUCCUGCCUAUCCUGCUUGAAACUAGUUAUAAUAGGAUGGUACCAAAGCCGGUUUGACUAGUAGUAGCUGGGAUCAGAUCAAGUCCCUUUGUUUUGAGAAAAAGAGCCAUUGGCUCUCGUGCUGCUCUCUUUUUUCAUAUCUUCAUUCAUGGGAAAGCCUCAGGCUCAAGGAGCAAAAGAGAGAGAGAGAAAGGGGGAGGAGAAAGAAAGGAGGGGAAGGAGGGAGGCUCAGCCUAGAUCCAGCUUGUCCUUAUUGAGAUCUGGCCUCCUUGAUGCUGACCUUGCACAUACUGAUAAGUUUUAAAUUUUAUUCAAACCAAAAGUAUCAGUACCAAUACCAGUACCAUACAUCCUAUCAUGGACUCAAAAUUCAUGUUUGAGGACUUUUAAAUAAUUAAAUAAUUACUAGAAAUUCAUUUAAUACAAUGCAAGAUGAAAAACUAAAAAACACUAAAGAAAGGAUUAUGAUACAGAGGCCAAAUGCUAGACCAUCCCAAGAGUGGAUGGUAGCAUCCUAGACCCAGGACCAGACUAGUGUGGUAGUACGUACUAGUAUUUAGACCAUGAUCUGCCGUACCGGUGCGUACCGGCCGUUACGUACCGGUCCGGCCUCGGAUUGAUACCGGAUCAGCGUGGAAUCCGGUAUCGGUAGUUUAUCGUUGGAGAACCGGUAGGGACCGGUACGGAAUCAGUAUGGGAUCAAUGUGGAUCAGCGUUGAAUUUGAAACCGGUACGGAACCGGUCCAGAUCGCCACCGGUACGCUGACCGGUACCGGUACGGCGGAUUUUGAUUUAGACCCUUGGUAAUGGUAAAAAGUAUUCACGUGAACCAAUCAUUUGAAUAAAGAAUUUAAAAGAUAUAGGAAGGAAUGAAAAUAAAGCGUUAUUCAUAAAGUCAAACCCAUCGGAUGUUAAUUAUGGAUGUUGGUAUGAUGUACUAUGCUUAUGCAUAAUUUUUUGCAGUGCCAUCUGGUUCUUCUUUGAAUUUAUAAAUGCACUUUCUGAGAUUUUUUUUUAUUUUUAAGAGAAACUGCAUGUUAAACUCCAGUCUUGUCUGAAAAAAAUAUGUUCACAUCUUUGUCCCUGACUCUGCUUCUUUACCUUCUUCAAUUAUUUCUAAUCUUAUCUUUUGCAGAAAAGUUCGCCACAAAAAUGUUGUGCAGUUUAUUGGUGCAUGCACCAGACCCCCAUGUUUGUGUAUUGUUACAGGUAUAAGGAUAUGAUAAAUUUUAGAAAGUGUUUGUUGAUAGAAAUCAAGACUAUAUCAUGCAUAAACUAAUGCUCCAACAUUCUUGUUGUAUGCUAGUAAAAUUUGUUCGAAGUUUUACUGAGGUACCUGUUUCAUCCUCAGAGUUUAUGCCUGGUGGAAGUAUCCAUGACUUUCUUCACAAGCAGAAAGGUGUUUUUAAGCUGCCUGCUUUACUCAGAGUUGCAACUGAUGUAUCCAAGGGAAUGAACUACUUGCACCAAAAUAAUAUAAUCCAUAGGGACCUGAAGACUGCUAAUCUUCUGAUGGAUGAAAAUGAGGUAGUUAUUUCUGCACCUUUUUUUGUCAUGGCAACUUUCCAAUUACUGUUAAUAAGUAAGGCAUUCUGGUGUGGAUCAUUCUUAACCGGUUUGGUGAUCUUAUUGAUUUUAUCUCAUGUAAAGAAAAGAUGGUUUCUUUCAUGUUCAAAAUUUUUCAUAAAGUAGUGGUUAAACAAUUCAAUUCUAACAUUAAGGUUCUUAGGAUUGAUAAGGGAAAUAUAUGUCAAAAAGUUUAUCUUUUUAGCAUCUCGCACUAUACCUGAAUAAUGUGUUAGAGAUAUGGCACCCAACGCAUACUCGUAGAGCGUUUCCCUACAUGCAUGCAAGACAUCCAUCAUGUUAUCAUAAUAGAAAUAGGCAAUGGAAUAAAAUCAAAGCAACUAAAAUCCAAAUUUAAUAACUAAGAAGUCCAAAACUAACAAGAACCUCCAACUCCAAGAAUUUUGUUCGCAAGAAUCUAACAUCAACCAUUCUUCAAAUGCUAAAUCCAAGAAAGCAACCCAUAAAAAUGCUUCCAUUAUUUAUACUAAGGAAACAGAUACUAAUUCUAGGUUAUGUUGAACAUUCAGCUCUCACAUGUCAUACUCCAUUAACAGUACCCUAUUAGCAACUUGUUCUAUAGACUGGUGAGAAAGGAGAGACUAAAUACUGAGCUUAACAACCCAAUAAGUAAUGAAUACCUUAACUAGAUAAUUCAUGUAAUAAAUUAAAUAAAUAUCUUGCUAAUACUAAGCAUAUAAGAAAAAUCAUUAUAUUUAAAUAAAAUAAUUCUUUUAUAAUCAAGAAUAUUCAUUCUUGUUCAAGUACCCAUAUUCAUAUUCAUAUUCAUAAGAACAAUUUAAAAUAUUGUAAUUCAACUCAAUAGCUUUUUAGACUAUAACCACAUUUAUGCCCUGUGGCCGGGCUAGAGAACCACAUUUAUAUCUUGUGGAGUCGACUCCACACUUAUACCUUGUAGAGUGGGCCAGAAUAUCAUAUUUAUACCCUAUGGCAGAGCUAGAAUACCACAUUUAUACCUUGUGUCAGGGCUAGAAUAAAUAGUUCCGGAGCAAUCAAAGUAUCAAUGCAUAACUCCUAAUUAGUAGGGUCCCAAACAUAAUCAGACUGAGAGUCCAAAAUUCGAAAUGUAUCAAAGCUAUUCAUAAAUCAUAUAUAUGUUAAAUUGUAAAUAGGUAUGCAUCUUCAACAAAAGAUUUGUAAACAUACAUGUAUAAUAUUUUGUAAUAAAAUAAUAUUUUCAAUUUACAAUUCUGCUUUCUUUUUUUAAAACACAAGUUUAUAAGAUUCAUUGUUAAUAAAUUUAUAAUUUAUUUGUUAUUAAUAUUUAUUUAGAGUAAUAAUUGAAAAUUCUAGGGAAGGUGAAUCGUUACUUACCUUGCAAGCACACUUAGCAGCAAACAAAUCCAACUAAGUCUAAAAGUUUCCCUCAAAACAUAUUAUCUAAAAUUAUAUUUUAUUAAAAUAUAGCCAUGAUAAAUUCUAAAAUAAAACUCUUAAGUCCUUAAUACCCCUACAAAAUACCAUGACCAAUAAUUAGAGAAGACUGCAAAGGGAAUAAGGGUGAUGAAAUAUGAUAAAAAGUUGGAGGAAGGACAAGGCCCGACUAGGUUGCGACAUUUGGUGACUCGAAUCAGUCUGAUUCUGAGAAACAACCUGCCAAAUCGAAAUACAGAAGUUGGGUUAGGCAAAGGCAGCAUGGUGGGGUUGCUAUUGCAGGGGUCCAGUGGUGCUUAGCGAAGGGUAGGGUGGAGGCCGACACGAUGGUGGUUGCAAAAACACCAAUUUGAGACCCUCUACUGGACUGACUUAGGGACAGAGGGAGAAAGGGAUGCUAUGUCAAUGUCCAGCCAAAUACCAUAGAGAGGGAAAAGAGAGAGAGAGAGGUCAUGAGAGUGUGUACACAAGGAGGAAUCUCAUCAGGACCUUUCUUAGGAAGGGGAAGAGGAGGCAAGAGCAGUGGUCUGGUGAUGACGGUGAAGGGUAGCGAGCGAAGGAUUGGCAACAUCCGAUAGGUGAUGGAAUGGUGGAACAAUGCUCAUUCAGGGAAUGGAAGAGGGAGUGUAGGUGAGAUGGAGGCGCUGCUUACCUUGUCUCUGGCGAAAUUUGGCAGUGACUUUGAUGAGAACAAAGGUGUUGGCACCUCCAAGAAAAUGAAGAGAGAGAAAUAGAGAGAUGCUGUGGUGGUUAACGCGGGCGGGCGGGCGGCGGGCAAGGGUUUUAUAGGUGUAGGCUUGGGUUUCCUGGCCUCUGGUGAGGUUGGGAAUGAGUCAGAGAUGGUCUCCUUCUCCAACUCGAACAGGACUCUGCCCUGGUUGGGUGGCUCGUUUGGUGAUAGACUAGGGUAAUAGGGUGGGCCUUGUCCUUAUGCUAGGACAGACUAUGAAAUAGACCAGUUUUGGUGCUAGGCUAGGCCAAAGGGCUGGGCCUUACAUUCAGGAUCAGGGAAUGCUAUUACAGUUAUCAUGUGUUGCCGCAUGUUUUUAAAAUGGAGUUGCUGAAAAAAAGAACCAAUGUGUACUUGAGGUAUUUCGUGCUUUUCUUUUUAAAAGAAUUUUUCCAAAAACUUAUUGGUGUGAUGUUUUGUUAAUUGCUUGCUAUUUAAUAAAUAGGACCCAUCUUCUAUGUUGGGCUAUAAAAGUCCUAUGCAAGUUUUCUGUCCUCAUGAAUCUGUUUUUCAUAUAAUUCCCCAUGUCUUGUGCACACGUUUGUUUUGUUCACUAUAUUAGUUUUUCUCUAGAAAGGUUGCAUCAUAAAUUUUUCAAACGUAUCUUCUUCUAUAUGCCCACUGUUAAAUGGGUUAUAGAUGUUAUGUUCCUGUUUCACAUAAAAUGUAUACCUCCUUGGAUGUUACCUUUUAUGAAGAAACGCCAUAUUACUCGUGGAGGCCUUUCUUUUGAUGAUACCUUUUUUUAUCUCAAGGUGGAAAUGGAAUUUCGAAAUUUCCUUUUCUUUUGGUCCUUGUUGAUGAACCAUCUCAUAUCCCACAAGUCAAGGAGACACCUUAGACAAUUGUGUACACUAGGAGAAACAAGAAUAAUAAGCUAAAACAGACCUCUAAUUAAUUAGCUGACUUGAGAAAAGAUCCAAAUACAAUUAUCCAUUCUUCCUCUAUACCUAGUCCUAAUGAUGACUUAUCCAUUCUUCUUCGGAGGCCUAAGAGAUCUUGGACUUCACGUCUUAUCAAUCAUUUUGUUCCUUUGACUCUUAAUUUCUCCUGGGUCAUUUGCUCUUGCCUACUGGAAACACUUCACAAAAAUGAAACAUGGGAAUCAGUACCAUUGCCUACUGGAAAAUGAAUAUAAUAAAGUUUCAACCUGGAUGCCUCAAUUGAGAAAUACAAGGCUAAACUGUAGCUAAGGAUACUCUCAAAUCUAUGAUGUAGACUAUUUGGAGGCUUUUUCUCCAGUGGCCAAGAUUAACUUUGUCAGAGUGGUUAAUUAUAUUACAGUGAAUCGUGGAUUAUUGUUAUUCCAACUUGUUGUGAAGAAUGCAUUCUUGCCUGGAAACUUAUCUGAAGAGGUCUGCAUGCAUCCACCUCCUGGAUCUACUCUAGCUAAAGGUUUAUCUCUUGUUUGUUAAUCGAAGAAGUCAAUUGUAGUUUGAUAAGUUCAAUAGUGCAUUGUUUGACUUUUGAUUCCAAUAGAACCAAGCUGAUCAUUCUUUGUUUAUCAAGAAAACACCUAGAGGUACAAUUAAGGUUCGCAAUCUCGAUACCUAAUAUCGUUCCGUACGGUAUGGUACAGUAAGCAACUUGUACCAAGACAGUUCUCAAGCUAUUUUUCUCACUUUUAUCAUGGUAUUGCUUGAAAUUGGGAGAUACGGAUCGGUACGUCUUGAUAUGGGUUAGUACAGGUUAGUAUGGGUUUUGUACCAAUCUGAAUACUAUUUAUGAACUGGUCCGACCUAGUAUGGUAUGGUACGCCUUGAAUCGGGCAAUUUUGGUACAAUGUUUGGCUGGCUCGAUCUAGUGCACGUCGUCCUUACCAAGCCAAGCCAACCAAAACUGCUUAGUUCCAAGCAAUUUGGUUUAGUAAGGGCCCCAUACCAGCACAAUAGGCAGAUCCGUGCUAUGAUCAAGCUAACUUAGUUUAAAAAAAUCUUAGUAUAUAUUAGUGCUUUAGGUUAAGUAAAGCUUAUUUGUGUAUGAGAAAUAGAGGAUUGAUUCAUCCUUGAAUUUGAAAACUUGGAUCAAGUUGGCCUUGUAAAUAAAGAAGUGUUUUGCUUGACCUAUUGAGAUCAUGGGCUUUAUUAUUCAAUAAAUGCAUUAUCUCAAGGAAUACAAGUGAAAAUAUUGAUCCAAGGGACAUUUGACAAUUUGUUAUCACUAUAACUUUAUUAAAAUUUUUAAAUGCAUUUAUCUCUUUCUUGAAUUUUCUUUUCUAAAACUUAGUGGUGCUUGUGAACAUUUUCUUUUUCUUUUUCUUCGACCUUUGUUGGCCUAUGUUUAUUAUGUCUACUAUUUCCUCUUUUAUUCAUUUGUUUUCAGAUUUUGAUGCAUCAUUCUUCAUAGGUUGUCAAGGUUGCAGAUUUUGGAGUAGCACGAGUUAAAGCUCAAUCUGGAGUUAUGACAGCAGAGACAGGAACAUACCGUUGGAUGGCUCCUGAGGUGUUUUUUGGAUACUUAUCCUAACUACUUUCAAACUUUCCAACUGCAACAUUUUGUCUAUUUUGAGUUCUUACAAUGUGUUGAUGUUUGAUAAUGUUGUCUAACAAACCAAAACUCGAACUUAUGAAUCCGAAAGUGUAACUAUUGUAGUCAGUCAAAUAUAGAUUCGAAAGUAACACUGAGAUAGAGCCUUUCCCUGGGCAACCAAAUGAUUGAACAUAUAUUAAUUAAAAGCAUAAUAGGAACCAAAACAAGAGUUUAAAUCUCGGUAUCAGGUCUAUCUUGGUUUGCUUCUGGGAUGGUACAAAAUCGGGAUAGGACGAUAAAGUUAGGACAAAUGGGAAAAGAUGUUAACAACAACAACAAUGAAAAAAAAAAAUCGUCCCAAUCUGUUUUGACCAUCACGGUGUGACCCAAAUGUUGGGUUGCAAUUAGGACAGUCAGGAUGUCCCAAUUCAGUAGAGAAUCAGUACCCCCUAGGUGUCUUGGUCCUGGCUAUCAGAAUAGUAUGGUACCAAGUACCAACGCUACCGUCCCAGUCCUACUGGACUCAAAUCCUUGAAUUAUAGUCUUGAAAACACAUACAAUCACAUCCUGAACAUAGCCUAUUAUAUGUAAUAUUAUACCUUGAAAUGUUACAAAGCAACGUUAUGUAGAAUGUUAUAUGGUUGGUGUUGCUUGAAUACCUACCUGAUCCCUAAAAUGUACUCCACAAAUUGAUUGUUCUUAUCCUCCAAAACUGAUUGCAACUUUAACCAAUUACUCUAAAUGUUUCUAAUAAUGACAGGAAUGAGCUACGCAUGGUUAACAGAGUGUAAUUUCUCAUUAAAAAAGUUCCAACAAAAAUAAGAUAAAUCAAAUCAUCAUUCAGAAGUUUGAGCAAUAGGUUAAUGAAACGCUAAGCAUGAUAUAUUGUGAAAGGACUAAAAUGCUAAGAAUAGAAAAUAGUCUAGAACCAUAUAUUGUUUGAAAGAUUCACUCAUAUGCUCAAGGCUAUUUGUAUAUUCAUUUCUAGUGCAACUGAGUGCAUUUAUACUAUAGCCAGCAAUUCAGAUGAGGCUACUCAUUAUUUUUGUUGCUGGUGCUGAGGCCACCUAUGAUCCUAAAGGUCCAGUUGCAACAAUUGGACAACGAUACACAUAUAUUCAUUCAUAAUUUAAAUGAGGCCACUCAUACCACCUGGUUAUAGGUCCACUUAUUUCCUGAUUGACAAUUCGAAAGGGGUCACUUAUACUACCGAGUUAAAGCUCCUCUUUCAUCUUUUAGAUAGAGCUUUUUUUAAGAAUUAAUAUGAUUUCAAUAUGCUGCCAUGGAAGCUCUAAUGAAACAUAAAUAGUAAUGCAAUUAAGUACAUAAAAGAAACUCAUAUAAGUAGAAUUUCAAGAUGUAACAUGUGCAUACAGGUUCAAAAAAUAUUAAGUCAAACCCAUAUGAUUUCCAAAAUUUUAAAAAAUAAACUAGACCUUAUUUCAAAUGAUGUUAAGUGUAAAUUUCCUAAAAGGAAUAAAUACAACAAGAUCAUUAUAACUAAUUUUACAUCUUAAAAGCUGAAACUGAAGCUGAUAAGAGUCCAAUAUAUCAAUAUAAUUGAACUUUCUAAAGUUGACUAGUGUUUUGGGGUUUCAAAAUUCAUCAGGGCUAAAGAUCUAGUUCAUAUUGAUCCUUAUCUGGUGCACCAUACUAGAUUGAUGGAAAAUUGAGUAUAUAUUUGUAAUGACCUGAGAUAUGAACUCACUUGAAUCUAGAGUCGUGACUCGCAUAACCAAUCAAAAGGAUGCAAAGAUGGAAAAAAAAUAUUACAAACUAGAACAAAAACAAAUGAUAUUAUAGAGUUUUUAAAGUAGAAAACUAGAAUAAUCCAAUACGACUCUAGGAUAAAAUCCAUUUUGCAAAAUAGUGUACCUUCAAGACGUAUGUGCUUGGUGCUAUCUCAAAUAUGGUAUGCCGUACUAGCCCGAACCGUACUGUACGGGGCAUACCGUACUGUAUCGGUUUGGUAAUAGUAUCUGGUAUGGAUGACAUACAAACAUUUGGUACGUCAAAAAAUUUUUGUACUAUACUGUACCGACAUUGUGCUAGUGUGGCACUGAUAUGGAGUCUAGUACCAAGACGGCAAACCUUAACCUCAAUGCUUACCAAAUCCAAAAGUGCACCUCCAAAGUUGAUCCUUAUAUAUUCCUCUUUAUUCACAAUCUAGUUUAACUCUCUUAUCAAUCACUUUGAAAAGUUAAUGAUCAUGAUGGGAGCGAGCAACAUAGCUUGAUAAGUAGUAACUUCACCAUUGCCUAAGGAAUUUAAGUCUAAUUUGAUAUCAAAUAGUGUUUAGCACAUAUUUCAUAAAUUAAGUUUUUAGAAAAUGCUUAGAUAAAGGUUCAAUGAAACAAUAUCAAGAUGAAGUAUUGAAAAUAAAAUCUUCUAACAAAGAUUCAUGUAGUCGGAAGAGACAAAAAUCAUGGAAAGGUCUUAACUGAUUCACAUAAAUGACAUUUUCUUAUAAGAAAAGCCAUAUUUUAUUCUUUUACCCUUAAUCCACAUAACUUCUCCUUGCUAUUGCAGAUGAGGCCAGAUAAAAUCCUUACAAGUAAACUAGAUGAGGCCAAAUAAAUCCUAUACUGGAGCAAAAGUAUUUCGGAUGGGGCUACAUACUCCUUGAGGUCCGUAUAUACCACUUUGCUAAGGGUUCACGAGAAUCCUCAUCCACAAUUUGAAUGUUGCUACCUAUAAACCUAGCCAGGGAUCCUAAGAAAUCCUCAUUAUUGUUCAAACAGGGGUGAAAUCAAGGUCGGCAGAACCAUCCCAACUGGGCGGUUCCGACCAUUCCGAGCCGUACCGGUGACUCAUCAGUACAGUUCCGGCAAUGAAAACUAGACCCGUUGCCAAAGCCGGAGAAGGAGAAGAAAAGAGAGAGUGAGCGGGGGAGGGAAGAAAAGGGAAGGGUGGCAGACGCUGGCGGAGGCCGUUACUAGACCUCUAUUUCGUUCAAAAUAGAAAAACCAGCCGCGGUUUCCGCCGGCCCCCUAUGGCAUCCGCCCGCCUCUGUCAGCAUCUGCUAGCCUCCACCAGCCCCCCUUCCUCUCUCCUCCUCUCUCUCUUUCUUUUCCUCUAUCCAACGGUACAAUUGACUCUGUCGGUAUGGGCCCGGUACAGCCCGUACCGACUCGUCCCACCAGAGCACCGGUACGGUGCUCGGUACCGGUUCCUCCGACCUUGGGUGAAAUACUAGCUCGCAAGGGGACCACAUCUAUAUCUUUUAUGUGUGAUAAUAAUACUCAGUUUUGAAAGGGUUUCACAAAUAUAACCUAAAACACUUAUCUGAAGUUCCAAAUAAAAGCCGCAAAUAUAUGAGGUUUUCAUAAAAAAUAUAUUCUUAAUUCAAUCAUGCACAUAUGUGAGCUCAAAACAUCAUUUAGAGGACCAAAUCAUAAUUUCAGAUUAACAAGUAUCAAAUUUCCAAAGAUUAACAAGUAAGGAUCCUGGUACUGAUCAUAAUUUUUAUGUAGAAUAACUUUAGAAUCCAAAAUAAAUUGCAGAUUCAAUGGCCUGAAGGAGCCCUAGGUUUUGAAAGCUAUUUAAUGUGUUAGAAUUUGGAAUUGAUACUUAAUUUGGAAAUAUAAAAAGCACAUUUUUUAUCUCAAAAUUCAAACACCAAACAGUACUUGGAUUCAAGGGUUAUACAGGAUUUCCAAGGUUGCUAAUUAUAGGUUCCAAAGCAAUGUCUAGGUCUAAAGAAACUUGAACAUAAGUUUUACAAAAACAAAAUCUAAUUUGACUUCAAGAUGGGAUGAUGAAUUGCAUACAAGAAGCCAUGAAAUAUAAAAUUUAUGCAAGGUUGGAACGGACCUAAAUCCAAAAAGAAUUUAAAGGCUCACAAACUCUCAUAAAUCCAAACGAAUAUGGAGUCAUCACUACCUUGUAACGCCAAAAGAGUCCUAAAGCCCUUGUGAAAGUUCCUCCUUCCUCUUCACACUUUCACUUUUCUCCUCCUUAGCUGGUCCCCCUUGCCUCUUUUUAUAGGCAAGGUAAGUUGGCUAAGCAGGUGAGGCCCACUAGGUGAUUCAUCCACUUAGAUCAUUUGACUCACCUACUAAAAUAAUUUGUCUAAGUAGGUUGGUCUAGAGGUCAAGCAAGUUCGGCAAUUUGGGAAAAGGUUGAUGAUAUUUGGCAUGUUAUAGUUAAGAAAUUAUAUUGAUGAUAAACAGACACACACACACACACACAGAGAGAGAGAGAGAGAACAAAGGUUCAGCAAUGUGUAAUGUAAUAUGUUUUCCUUACAUGUUAGCUAUUCAGCUGGAAUAGAUUGCCAUAUCUUUUCCAGAAAGAGUUUUCUGUUCUCAACAGUUUCUCAUCAACAUAAUUUUGGUUUCUAGGUCGGCGAACACAAGCCCUAUGAUCAGAAGGCUGAUGUUUUCAGUUUUGGCAUUGUGCUGUGGGAGUUGCUUACUGGGAAGGUAUUUGCAGCAUUUUCUUGACAUAACACCUUUUGACAUAUAAUAUAUACAAGCCUCUUUGCUACAUUGAUUUUGCUUCUCUUUUUUCACUGAUAUGAUUUAAUAUCACAAUCCCUUUAUCAGGUACCAUAUGAGGACUUAACACCAUUACAAGCAGCAGUGGGUGUGGUUGAAAAGGUAUACAUCAUACUUCUUUCCAAUAUAAAUUGUUCCUUCAUGAUUUAACUUCUUAAAAACUACACAUGACAGUGAACCAAUUUUUUUCUUUUUUUGCACUCUUUUCUAUUGAGUAUAUACUAUUUGCUCAUCCCUUCUCCCAUCCAUUCUCUAUAAAAAACCCUGGACAUUAACAAAUAUACUCAACUAUGGCAUUACAUGAGUUUAUUGGCAACUUGUUAAAUAAUUUGCCUAGUGCAGUUUUCUGUUUUGAGGUUAUAAAUAUGUAGUUCUACGUUACAUGUAUUAUUAUUAUUAUUUUUAUUGUUACAUCGGCAACUCACACAUAACAAGUGGGAGCAAGGUCUGCUGAACCGACCUGUACCGGUCGGUUCAGCCCGUGACAGGCACCGGUCCGGUACGAAGGUAGAAAUCAGUUCGGACCCAAUCUGGGUCGGAACCGGUCGCUUCGUGGCUCGUACCGGUGCGAACCGGCUCGACUCACAUCGGUACGAGCACCGCUCGGUUCGCACGGAUACUUGCUCAAACCAGUGGGAACUACUCGGUUCGCACCGGUAGGAGUGGGGGACAACGCGUGGCUGUAGCCACGUGCUAAGUGCCAGCCACGCGCUAAGUGCCCGCGCUAUGGCACUUUUGAAAGUGCCACAAUGCAGAGAAUGUGGCACUUGCCACGCGCUGUGGGCCAAUGCGAUAGUCAAGGCUAUCAAACCAUUAUAUGAAGUGCUGCGGGCCGUGGAUAGCGAGAGGUACCCCUAGAUGGGCUUUUUGUAUCACAUGAUGAAGAAUGCAAAGGCUCAGAUCAUGGAGGCAAAUGUAGCCCAUGCUCAAGAGUACAUCGACAUUAUUGAGCGGCAGUAGAAAGCCCAAAUGGGUGGAAAAUUGCAUCUAGGAGGUAAGCGAUAAUAUUGAUAAUUAUACUGAUGGAUAUAUUUGUAUAAUUAUACUAAGAUGGUGUCGUCUAUGUGCAGCAUACUAUCUGAAUCUCCGGUUCCAGUACGAGAGUGGAAUUGGUAUGGAUGAUGAACUUCUUGAUGCUCUGCGUAAUGUUAUUUAUAAAAUGGAGCCUGAUUCAGAAAUCGCCGCGUCAUGUAUAGAAGAGGUAACUAUGAUUUAGUAGCAUAUGUAAAUAUAUCGGAUCUUAUAUUAUUAACAUACUACAACAAGUUUUUUUUCACUGACCAAAUUAUUUAGAGAGGACAGCCACAGCUUUGGACAACGACCAGCUGUCGUGAGAAAGAUAACUAUGAAUUCAGGUACAAUACAAAUCUGCAAGACAUUUUUGCAGCUGAAUUAUCUUCAACUGUGAGGCCAUCAUAUAUGUAAUUAUUUUCAAUAUUUUUGCAGCUGAAUGGUGGAUUCAUUUUGGCGGAUCCGUAAAAAAUCUUAAGCGGAUAGCUAUUUGGAUCCUCUUCCAAACGGUCUCCUCGAGUGGCUUUGAGCACAACUGGUUCACCUUCGCCCUCAUCCACAACAAACAGAGAAACCGUUUGACACAAAAGCGCCUUAACGACCGAGUUUAUGUGCAAUACAAUCUGCGGUUGAGGCUAAAAUGCAUUCAGGAGGAAAUGAAGUUCAAGUAUGCAGAUCCCAUCUAUAGGACUUUCAUAGAUGAUGACGAUAAUGCUAUGCUUGACUGGCUUGCGGGCCAGCAGUAGAAGUCCGAGCUUGAUGAACCAGGAUCGUCUUGACGACCAGCCAGCAUCAUAGCCAUCGAGGCUAUGGUCGAUCCACAGCAAUGGGCUGAGCGCAACAUUCCACGCACUCCUACAGCUGAUAGGACGUGGCUAGAGGGGAGCCAGUCACCACAUGACUGGUACGACACUUUCGUUUAGAGAGAUGAUUCUCUGAUGCGAGGACGAGGACGCUCUAGUAUCCAGUCGACUCGAUCAGGUGGGCGUCAAUCCUAGCAAACGAGAAAGGAAAAGGGCCCCAAUGGAGAGUGUCGAGGAGACUUGGAUUAGCAGCGAUAAAGGUUCUGGUGGUGAUGGAUCUACUGCCAUGAAGAGAGUGGAGAACAGUAUGGUACUACUUAUGAGAUACAGUCGGAGAAAGGUUUUCGAUACACCAAUGAGUUCCAGUUUACGCAUGCUACACAAGAUAUGGAUCACGGUAGGCCGUCUGAUAUAGGCCGGUUAGAUACCAUUGCAUAUCGAAGACGGGCUCCUCGAGGUCGUUCAGGAGGACAGGAUGCAGCUGCAGAUGACCUCCCAUGUGGAGUAGGAUCCAUUGAUGUAUCAAGUUUCGAGUCUUCCUAUUAUCUGCGGCCUCAGCCGGCCUAUGGAUAUGGUGCAUCGGAGUCAUCUUUCGGUGGCUACUGCUCUGCGCAGCCCGGAGGGUCUUACGGGUCGGAUUUUGAUGCCGGCAUAUUUGGAUGGGCCCUUCCACAACCAUAUUAUCAAGACACCUCUCAGAGCUAGAGCUUCAGUGAGAGAUCCGAGAGUUCUUAUGAUCCGACGCGCAUUUCUCGGAGAUUGAGCAUAUAAGACUACAACGCCGCUUGGUUAGAGGGAUGGGUUGAUCUGCCUCUGUAUUAUGCUGAUGAUUCAGAUAUCGACAAGAAGCAUCGCCACUCGAUCCGAUUUUAGAUAUCCGAGAGUGCUUUGAAUGUAUGUAAUUGAUUGUAUCUUAAUUUGAAGAUAUUUUAUAUUUUUCAUCUUAUUAUUUGAGUCAUUUGGAAGGAAUAAGAUGCAUCUUCUAGUUUAAACCUUAAAUCUAAAUAUAGAAACAUCAAAAAAAUAUCCAAAAGUGAGAAAACUCCCCUUCCCCCCCAAAAAAAAAAACGACGAACGGGGUCGAAACCAGGCCGAACCAACCCCAUCGGUACGGUAUUGGUUCGGCACCGGUACCGGAGCCUACCGGUUGUCAGUACGCUAGGUACCGCGUACCUUGGGUGUGAUAAUUGUCCAAAAAGUCAGAAAGUAAAAUAGACUGCAGGGAAGACGGGACAGAAGCCUGGUUCACCCAGAUGAAGUCGCCUGAAUGAUGAGCCGCAUAGGAGACCACCCAAUCCGCCGCACUGUUGCCUUCUCUGUAGACAUGAGAGGCCCGAUGGGAGAUGCAUUCACCUAGCAGACGGCGAAUGUCGUGGAGCAAUCGCAAUCCUCCAUCAAUGCCCCUGGUCCCCUGGAUCCCUCGGAUCACCGUGGUAAAUUCCCUCUCAAUGAUAACGCGGUCUGCCCCCAACAUCCGUCUCGCAUAGUAUACUUCCUUCCAUGCUGCUCUCAACUUAGUACUGUUGACAGACUGGUCGAAGAUACACCGACCCCCAGCCGAUGUCGCACCAACCACCCUUCUGGGUACUGCCAUCGAAGUUUACCUUGAGGAAGCCAGGGUGUGGGGGCUCCCAGGAAAUGAGAACACACCUGGGCGCUACGUGAGCAAAAUGAGAGCCCCAGAUUUUCCUGGUCGCCCCAAGGGACGACGACGCAGUGACCUCAAGUACCUCUACCGUAUGAAGUAGGGUUCUGUCAACUACAACUCAAUAGCUUGGCUUUAUCCUCAAAGAUGCAGGCAUUCCGAUCUAGCCAGUAAUGAUAAGCCAGAUAGGCUGCCCUAAUCUCCAGGGACAGAAGCCCGAGACUCCGAGAGGACUCAGCCAGUAGGGUCAGAAAGUCCUCUGUCGACGACCAGCUCCAUCUCAAACUAGAGCAAGCCAAGGCACACUNNNNNNNNNNNNNNNNNNNNUAGGGUCAGAAAGUCCUCUGUCGACGACCAGCUCCAUCUCAAACUAGAGCAAGCCAAGGCACACUUCCAUAACGCAGCCGCCCUCUAACAACCAAGGAGUACAUGGAAUAUAGUCUCCUCGGUCUUCUAAUAGGCCCAACAUCCCGGGGCGAUGCGCACCCCCCAUCGGGCUAGGACUCCCCUGGUCGGCAGACAUCCCUAGGCGACCUUCCAAGGCCACUCAAGGAUGAAUACGCGGCCGCCAUGAAUACAUUACAUGUAUUAUUGCUAGCUAUGCUGGGAGCAUUAGCCAACACAUUAGCGCAUUACUUAAAAGAUUUAGUCAGAUUAUGAGAAGAUUGGAUUGUCUCAUCUUCCUAUCAGACAUUCUUUAUCCAACCUUCGUUUGGCCAAACAUUGUAUAUAUAGUGUUGAUUCAAUCCGCCAACUCCCGAAUCCUUCAUGUUAUUUUAUCUCUAUGCCACCACUAUUCCAUGUUAUUUAUAUACAAUGGAAUAAUUUUGUCCUGUUUAGGCCUAUUAUAGUGUCAAAUGAGUUAGCAAUGUCCAUGAGGUUUGAUGCCUUAUCACUUGAUUGCAAGGUUUUAGGUGCCAUUCCAUACCAUGCAUGUACCUUUACAUACCAGAAGGAAGCAGUACUUAGUAUUUCCCCUUUACCAACACUAGUUACAGGACCGGCAUACUCUACCGACAAUCAGUUUGCCUUGGUGUUGGCAUGAGUACCUUCCUUCAGCACUUAAAAACCUUGCUUGACAGCAAACACAUUGUGAAUUCAUGUUAUUAAGUUUCUAUGCCUUCCCAUUACUGUUGAGAUAAGUAAUUACAUAACCACUAACAUUUGUUGUUUCAUGAGCAUACCAGUCUUAUCAUGGUUACCACUUACCAUACAUGUGGUCAAGACCAAUACAUUCUCUUUAGCACAAAAAGCCCAACCUUCCUUACGCUAGAAAUGGGUAAAAUGCAUGUAUUCCGGUGGCAAACAAGUAAAAUUGACAAAAAAAAAAAAGAAAAAAAAUACUAGUGAUGUCUUCUGCUCAAUGUUUAAUACCAUAAUUUGAGUUAUAAGUUAUAAUUAUUUGAGCGAUAUGGUAUAAUUAUUUUGAGCUAUGAGGUAUAAUUAUUUGAGCAUGAAAAUGGAUUUAGUUCUAGACUCAGAUGAUGGAUUAUAAGGGUUUAUUGAUAGCACCUUGUAGCAUGAGACGUGCUAAUUUCCUUGGUUUUGCACUUUUAUAUCAUGCAGUACAUUUUAAGAUUGUACUGGUCCUCAGCAUGCUCAAUAAUAUAUGGAUGCAAUGGGGAGGAGAAAAGAACACACUCUUUCGCCAACUUGCUAGGAAACACAGAUAUCAGAAUUCAUUUUUCCAUAACUUCAAGCUGCCAAACUCUAUACCUUAUGAUUUUUGGCUUACCAUGAAAUUUUAUUUUGCCCAUAACUCAUUUAGAUAUUUAUUUUUCAAAAGAAGUAGAUUAAGUUUCAGAAUUAGUAGAUGCUGAAAUCUAGCUUCUGUUAAUGUUCUUCCACUGCCAUUUGGAAAUACUGACUCAGCGGCCGUUUACGCUUUGCCUUCAGGGACUGCGUCCUAUCAUUCCUGAGCAUACUCACCCUAAGCUUGCUGAACUGCUCAAAAGAUGUUGGCAACAGGAUCCAUCUAUAAGGCCAGAUUUUUCAGAAAUUUUUGAGAUGCUAGAUCUCAUUGCUAAGGAGGUUGGUUAUUAGACUCGUCUCUUGCGUGCCUUACAGGCAUCAUAACUGUGCUAAUAAAUUCGCUGAACAGGUUCUAGAUGCGCAAGCGGAUCGGCCCAAGAAGUCAUCAGGGCGUGUCUCUCAGUUUUCAGGCGGGGUCACUGAGAGAUGUUUAGCUGUCCUUAAAUCUGUUUGUAUGUUCGUAUCAUGGCCUUUUAUUCUUUUGCUGAAAAUUUUCCUUUGAGCAGUAUAGUGUUUGUAUCAGUGGCUUAUUUCCUCAAUUUUGUGCUCUAAUUCCAUUUCUGGUGCUUCUUUUACAGUGUUCAUCUCGCGAGAGUUUCAUGUCCUGUACGUAAUGUCUAGUGUUGGAUAUUAUUUAAGUGUACUUGCAAUAAGUGAUUUGAUUUUAUGCCCUUAAUAAAAGAAAGUAUUUUGUCCCAUUCUAUCUAAAAGCUUAAGGAUACUUUCGGAAAAAAAAAUAUUUCAAUUUUUAGCCGGUAGGAAUUGGACUUUUCCAUAUCUCACAUGGGCUUUUCUUUUCUAUGAAAUAGGAGAAUAUUUCCAUAGGAAAACUACUUUGUCAUCUCUCUAUUUUGAAAAUUCCAACUAACAUGAGGUAUUUGUCUAUUUUCCCAUUGAUCACACUUUUCCUCCUCUUCCCACGGGCCAAACGAGUUACUUAUGGGAAAGAAAAACCCAUGUAUAGGAAAGCCAGCUUCCGAUAGUUGGAAAUUAUGGUAAUUAUUUUCCAAAAAUGCCUUUUAUGUAUGUGAUGUUUUUUUUCAUGUAAUCCUUUUAUUAAUGGUAUAACAGAUAUUUUAUAUAAUAUUUUUUAAAAAAGUAGAUAGUCAACCAAGUAUAAGUCACGAAAAGUGAUAUGGCAUAAAACCAACCUUUCUAUAGUGGAUGGCUUUUCUAUCGUGCAUGGGUAUGUGGCAAGCAAUUUUGAAAAGGUGGAAUUUUAGAUGGUUACAACGCUGCAAUUAAGAGAAUCCAAAAAUGAAAGGAUAGUUAUAGCUUGUGAGGAAGGAUGGUUAUGGCUUGUAAGGAAGGAGUUAAUGGCUCAUCCUUUGAUUUCCACCACCAGUUGUAAUGGAUCUUUGCUCCUACACCCAUAUAAGUAGGGCAAGGGAUCCCAAAAGGAGAAGCUCUCGUAGCUAAAGGCACUCAUAGCUUAAAGCUCUCAUGGUGAAAGGCUCUCAAGUCCCCAUUCAUCAUUCUGCUCUUCUUUGGCAGGUUAGCAAGUUUAUGAGCUGCCAAGGCCGAGGUGAGAAAGCCAAAAUAAAGGCUGAGGCUGAGGUGGAGAGUGAGGCUGAGGUACUUGGCCUUGGCCGAGCUACCAAGCCGAAGGCCAAGGUGAGGAGCUCGAGGCAGAGUUCCAAAAGGUGGAGCUCUAGAAGGCUAAGUUUUUAAAGUUGACUGGAAGGCUGACUAGAACUAGAAGGCCAAGAUGAAAAGGCUGAGGUAAGAAUGCCGACCUGAGAAGGCCAGAAGAAUGCAAAAUUCUACACUAAUCUUUUCUCUUACACUUGCUAUUUUUCUACUCUUGUUUUGAAGCUCUUUCUGACUAAAGCAUCAGAAGAUCAAUCGGAGCCAUUCUAACGAGCCUUUGUGUGUGUGCGCGCAGACCAACAUCUCUUCAUGAAUUGAUUGGUACCCUCCAAACCUCCACAGUCAAGCUGGAUUUUGGCGUCAAUAGAAAGAAUAUUUUCUAUACUAUUUUUUAUGAUCAAUUAAAUGUAUAAAAAUUAUUUUUUUGAGCAUCAUUUUUUUAAAAAAAUAUAUUUAUUAAGAUAAUUUUUUUAUGAGAACCAAAUACACUCGACUCGUCUUGUUUCCGCAGUGGAGCUAACGUGUGCAAGCUAAUCUUUCAUGUAACUUUCAAGUAAUCCCACUUCGUACUCACUCCGCGGCAAGCUAGCUGCCAAAAUCAGAAUAAUUUUAAAUAAGGUCGUCUGCGGACGCGGUCAGCUCGCACUCCAACCUAACCGAAUGGGCACGCUGGCUUUUGGCAUUCAAGGGACGAAACGCUCGCGCUCUAUAUAAAAUCCCAGCUCGGUGCUGCUUUGAGGCACCAAGCCAUCCCAUUUCCUUCUUUCCACUACCCAACCGAGGAAAAAUGGCACCAUCCCGUCUUGCACAGUUCCUCCUCUUCCUCAUCCUUUCCUUAAUACUCUCCCGCUCCGACGCCGGGCGCAUCGCCAUCUACUGGGGCCAGAACGGCAACGAGGGCACCCUCGCCGAGACCUGCGCCACCGGAAACUACGCCUUCGUCAACCUGGCCUUCCUCUGCACCUUCGGCGCCGGCAGGACUCCGCAGCUCAACCUCGCAGGCCACUGCGACCCUUACUCCAGCGGCUGCACCGGCCUGAGCAGCGACAUCAAGUCCUGCCAGGCCAAAGGCGUCAAGGUCAUGCUCUCCAUCGGCGGCGGCGCCGGGGCCUACUCCUUGGCUUCCAAAGAUGACGCCGGGCAAGUAGCUCGAUACAUCUGGAACAGCUACCUCGGCGGGAAGUCCUCUUCUCGGCCUCUAGGCGAUGCGGUGCUCGACGGCGUCGACUUCGACAUCGAGGGAGGGAGCCCUGACCACUACGACGACCUGGCGAGGUCCCUCUCAGCUUACAGUACCAAGGGGAAGAAGGUCUACCUGACGGCGGCGCCGCAGUGCCCGUACCCGGAUGCUUGGGUCGGCGGAGCCCUCGACACCGGGCUCUUCGACUACGUCUGGGUGCAAUUCUACAACAAUCCACCAUGCCAGUAUUCGCCGGGGGCGGUGACCAAUCUGGAGGAUGCUUGGAAGCAGUGGACGUCGGGGAUCAAGGCCACCAAAAUCUUCCUUGGCUUGCCGGCGGCGCCGGAUGCGGCCGGGAGUGGGUUCAUUCCGGUCGGAGACCUCAAGUCUCAGGUGCUUCCGGCGCUGAAGAAGUCUACCAAGUAUGGAGGGGUGAUGCUGUGGUCCAAGUACUAUGAUGACCAGACCGGGUACAGCAAGGCUAUCAAGCCUGAUAUCUGAUUUGGAUUAGCUGUGCCUCUCUUGUUGGAUGCUACUGCUUUAGAAUCUGGGGAACUUAAAUACUGUGUGAAAUCUUAAGCUCAUGUAGUUUAUAUAUAUAUAUAUAUAUAUGUAGUGGGGUUGUGAUUGUGAGUGUUGGAGAUGGCCGGGCUGGGUGUGUUUUAUAUUCCUCAUGAAGAUAUUUAAAGUUCUUUGCACUUCCGUUUUGAUGUCUCGUCCACUUUUGAGAAGUUCAGUUACUCACCAUAUCUAUAGCUGCCACAAUAUUGUACAUAGACAAUAAUAAUAGGUAGGGAUUCCAAUAUUCCAGUACUGGAGCAGUAAAAAAGAUUAAAAGGUAUCUGAUCCAUACUUGUUUUUAUGUAUAGAAGGCUCAUAGACAAUAAGCCACAUAAUAGAUCUUAGAUCACUUUAGUUACCUUCAACCUCUACCUUACUCAUGUGAAGGUUGUUCCAUCUAGAUUUUUUUUGGAAGUUUUGAAUAGAUAUAAACAAAUUAGGCCCAGCCUGCCGAAUCCGAUAUUGAUCUAGAAUGGACAGAAUUUUUUGGCAAUUCAUAUUUAGCCCGAAUCUAUAAAUUGAACAAUAUAAACAUAUGGUAAAAUAUAUUAUACAUUGUGUAUUAUAUUUUUAAAGAGAAAGAUCGAAUCCUAUAUAGUAGGGCCCAUUAGGAUUUCAAUGUGAUUAUGAAAUUACCGUAUAAAACAGAAAGAUAUAGAAAACCAUACAAAGAGACUUGUGAAAGCAAAACGCCAAAACCAAAGACUCAGGAGGAAACUUUUAAAUUACAAAACAAAGCUCUCCUCCCAUAUGGAUAUGAUUUCCAAAAUUAAAAUAGACAAACUUUUGCAGAUAUGUUUACUGUCCUGGAGUUCCACGAUUUCCACAAUAUAGCUACCGAAAAAAAAUCCAAGAAGCUUUAAAUUUCUUUCAAAUUCAUUUACGUCUCCGAGUACCUCAGAAAGCAAUGAAGGAGCGCACCUCCCACUUGGUACUAUCCUUGAAGAAUUUCCAAAUAUGUAGACAAUAAGAGCAUGAUAAGAAAAAAAGGUGAGAAACAGUCUCAUCCUUAGAAUGACCGAGAACACAAGCUAGCGGACAAGGCCGAGAUUUUUUUAGAAGGUCAUCAGUCGUCAAAAUGUGACCUUCGGAGAAUAAAAGGAACAAAAAAUCGUCUGAUGACCGUAUGGAGUAGUCUUUCCUCAUUGCCACAUAUCCUAUUAUAUCCAACGUGAAGUAAAAACUGAAAAAGCUAAUGGAGUUUAUCUAUCCCGUGACUUUAAAAAAAGAAAAUAUAUGAAGCAUCAUCCAUGAGGCUGUCCAUCCAUAUUCUUUUAUUCUUCCUCGUCAAGUCAUCUUUUCUCACCAUUCGCUUGUGAGGCUUCCUUCUCCUUUCCGAGACUCUUUCUUCUCUUUUGAAAUACUGAGUCCCUUCAUCUAGACAUAGACCAUGUUCAUCAGUCCACAAUAUAUAGCUAGGUGUAUGCAUUUAGUAAAUUAGUCAUCCAAUGACUUAUACAUACCUCUAAGUAAAUUGAUAUACAGUUUUCAUAAUAUUGUAUUUACUAGUAUACAAUUAAUACAUAUCUAGAUGAUAUGCACUCGAUGGAUUUCUGGUACAUAUAUAUACUUUAAGCUUCUUUGAUAUAUACCCAACAGUAACUCAAUAUAUACCUUCUAGCAAAUCGAUACACUUCUAAGUAAAUUGAUACAUAAUUUUCAAAAUAUUGUAUUCACUAGUAUAUAGUACAUGUCUAGAUGAUACACAUUCAACGAAUUUUUAAUACAUACUUACAGCUUCUUUGAUACAUUCUUAGCAACGACCUAAUACAUACCUCCAGAUAAAUUGAUAUACAUUCAAACAAAUUAAUAUAUAGCUUCCAAAAUAUCUUAUGCACCAGUAUAUAGUACGUAUAUAGGUGAUAUACAUUUGAUGGGUUUCUAAUACAUGAUACAUACUCAAUAGUAACCAAUGCACAUCUCUAUAAAAAUUGAUAUACAUCCAUGCCAAUUGAUACACAGCUUCCAAAGCAUCGUAUUUAUUAGUAUACAAUAUAUAUCUAGGUGAUACACACUCGACGAAUUUGAUAUAUAUAUACUUUAAGUUUCUUUGGUAUAUACCUAACAACAACCCAACACAUCUCUAGAAAAAUCGUUAUAGUUUCCAGAAUAUGGUGCUUAUCAGUAUACAGUCCAUGACCAUAUGAUACACACUUGAGAUGGAUGCCUUCAUGAAGAAGAAGAUUCGAAGGAGCAGAAAGAAACUCGGAGAGAAGGUGAAAGGUCUUAUGGAUGGAUAGAGAGGGAAAAAUGACUUGACGAGAAAGAAGAAAGAGAUACGGGUGGAUGGCCUCCCAAACAAUGCUUCAUGUAUUUCUUUUUUUUAUUUUCUUAAGUUAUGGGAUGGACAGGCUCCAUUAGUAGUAGAAGUCCCGUCCCACCUUGACUUUUUGAUUUUUCACUUUAAGAUGGAUGUGAUAGAAUAUAUGGUAAAAAAAGAAAGACAACUCCAUAUAAUCUCCUCUAGUAUGUGCACCACAAGAUUUUUGCUCAUCUAUAAGUACUAGCUAUAAAAAGGUUUUAACUUCUUAGAUAUCAAAGCCUUCCUGAUAUGGUGAAAUUUAACCUCACUAAUUUUGAAAAAAAAUGUGGAGAAUCUAAUGGGUUGAACUACUCCAUUACUUUCCUAUUAUGGAUACUUGAUGGUCUUUAUUCUUUUUUUUUGGGUAAGUUAGAUGAAUUAAUUAAUACAACUACAGAUACAAACCAUAGGAAUCAAAAAACAAAAUAUUCAAAAAUUAAGAAGGAAGAGUUGUUGAAGAAUCCUCAUAAUGUAGUCCUAGUAUGAUUGGCCACAUAGCUUGCUAUCCAGUUUGCAACACAAUUAGCUUCUCUAUAAAUAUAUGAUAUCUCAAUGGAGAGUUGGGUACAUAUAUUCCGCUAGCAAUCAUGUAGAAGUGGAUGAGUUCUAGCAUAAGUAAGAGAUGGAUUUGAAAACUAUCUAAUAACUGUCAAUUAAAUUCUCUCUCUAAAUAAAUGUGAGAAGCUCUCAACUUCUGCAUAACAUAAAUCAAUCCUUCUUAUUCAGCUCGUAAUCCCNCAAGUUAACAUAGUGUCAAAAAUCUUAACAUAGGCUUCCACCAGCACUCCUUAUAACAAAACCUACUCUACCAAAAGUACCUUUCUCUUGUACACU